GAGAAGCUGAGUAUGAGCAGACUGUGUGAGCUUGCAGGCCAGAAGAAGUCUGUCAGAGGUCUGUAGGUGUUCACAGGUAGAGCUCUUCAGGGAGCUUAAUUGCUUUACCCAAAAUCAAGUUGGAGAUAUCUGUGGAGCCCCAGCCACAAACUCUGACUGUUGGGGGCUGCUUUGAUACCAGAGCACGGAGCUGUCCAAAACCCAGUUCCUCCUUGCAAGUGGUUCAGAGUAGGAUUCCCUUUGGAAAAUGGGGACAGAAGCAUCUCUCUGGUGAGUUGCUGUAAAGUGCCAGCCUUGGGGACUGAUCUCUGACCACCUUGAACUUCUUAUUUGGAGGAAAGGAAUUUCUUCCAUAGGCUUGUUACCUCCUGCUCUGCAGCUCUGUUAGCCCCUUUUGUGGAAAGAAGGAGAGGAGUUAGAUUAAAAGCCCUCCUGGAUAGUUCUGCUGUUUGGGAGGGGUUCUGUAUUUCUGUAUUACUUUUAUUACUUGUUUAUAAUUUUAUAUAUUGUGUUUAUGUGCUUGUGUAUUUGUGCCAUACUGUAAAUACAGCCUAAUUCCUUAACUUC